GAUCCUCAUGUGUAUUUCCGGGUUUUUCCAAACGCUGCUGCUCAUUGUGGCUGUUGGCGGGUGUUGUUCGUAAAACAACCUGAAACCUCCAAAUCUGACUCGACUAAUACAUGAAACUUGAUGAUCGGUGGUUGACAGCUGGCAUGGCUUCCCUCUGGUUAACAUCGCAUCAACCUCCUCAAACAAUUCACUACUCGACAGUCAGGGUUCCCCCCUCCCCCCUUGUUUUCGCCUGACUGAAGAUGGCGAGCUACCCUCACACCACCUGGUGGUAGG